rnacentral:rRNA from 1 species
AACGUAGGUGGCGAGCGUUAUCCGGAUUUACUGGGCGUAAAGCGUGUGCAGGCGGGGGGGAAAGUGGUGUAUGAAAUCGCCAGGCUAAACCUGGCGCGGUUAUGCCAGACUGUCUAUCUGGAGUGCGAGAGAGGGGCGUGGAAUUCCGGGUGUAGUGGUGAAAUGCGUAGAGAUCCGGAGGAACCCCAGAGGCGAAGGCGGCGCCCUGGCUCGCAACUGACGCUCAGACACGACAGCAUGGGGAGCGAACGGG